rnacentral:rRNA from 1 species
AGUGAACGCUGGCGGUAGGCCUAACACAUGCCAGUCGAACGGCAGCACAGUAAGAGCUUGCUCUUACGGGUGGCGAGUGGCGGACGAGUGAGGAAUACAUCGGAAUCUACUUUUUCGUGGGGGGUAACGUAGGGAAACUUACGCUAAUACCGCAUACGACCUACGGGUGAAAGCAGGGGAUCUUCGGACCUUGCGCGAUUGAAUGAGCCGAUGUCGGAUUAGCUAGUUGGCGGGGUAAAGGCCCACCAAGGCGACGAUCCGUAGCUGGUCUGAGAGGAUGAUCAGCCACACUGGAACUGAGACACGGUCCAGACUCCUACGGGAGGCAGCAGUGGGGAAUAUUGGACAAUGGGCGCAAGCCUGAUCCAGCCAUACCGCGUGGGUGAAGAAGGCCUUCGGGUUGUAAAGCCCUUUUGUUGGGAAAGAAAAGCAGCAGGUUAAUACCCCGCUGUUCUGACGGUACCCAAAGAAUAAGCACCGGCUAACUUCGUG